rnacentral:misc_RNA from 1 species
UCCGGUUUGUCACCGGCAGUCUCCUUAGAGUUCCCACCUUUACGUGCUGGCAACUAAGGACAAGGGUUGCGCUCGUUGCGGGACUUAACCCAACAUCUCACGACACGAGCUGACGACAGCCAUGCAGCACCUGUCUCAGUGUUCCCGAAGGCACCAAUCCAUCUCUGGAAAGUUCACUGGAUGUCAAGGCCAGGUAAGGUUCUUCGCGUUGCAUCGAAUUAAACCACAUACUCCACCGCUUGUGCGGGCCCCCGUCAAUUCCUUUGAGUUUCAGUCUUGCGACCGUACUCCCCAGGCGGCGAACUUAACGCGUUAGCUUCGACACUGAUUGCCAAGUUGCAACCAACGUCCAGUUCGCAUCGUUUAGGGCGUGGACUAC